AGUCUGCCACCUGGAGUUGUGUGUCCGUGUGGCUGGUGGUGUGAGCAAGUGAGGAUUGUGUUGAUCCUGGCGGUAUCCGGGCAGCUGAAGCUGUGCGUAAAGGAGCUGAUCUUCCGGCAGGAAAGACAGGCAAGAACUGAAUAAAUAUAUAACACAGUGUCAACAGUGAAAUGAAUAUGUAAUACAAUGCAAGUGGCGUGAAGAAUAAUCCAUAGGAUAAAGGGGAUUAAAGAGUGCUGCUGUGGGCGGCGGUUUAGCAGGUGUCAUCCAAGAUGGUGUCUCUAAGGAGGAGGUACUUGAGGUGACCCCUGAGCGGGGUGAGAGAGAAUGCCUGCUGAGUAUCCAGAAGAGCGUUCAAGGCGGAGGGAGCAGCAAGUGCAAAGGCCCUGAUGUGAGAACAUCCUGAGCGGCAGCUUGUCAGGGGCCUGUGGACGUUGCUCUAUCUCCAGUGCCUGCAGCGGAGCCUGGCACACAGGAGGUGCUCAACAAUUAUCUGUUAAAAUAAAAACUUGAAUAGAUGAA